GGCAUGGCAGCAGCAUCUGGUGGGGUUCUGUGCUACAUUACCCCAUGGUGGAAGGGCAGAGGGCAGAGGGCAGAAGAGGAAAGGCAGAAGAGAAAGACAGCAUGGGAGACAGCAAGAAAAUGGAGGCCAAAACUUAUCCUUUUAUCAGGAAUCCACUCCCACACAUGUUUGUAAACAAUGCCAUCAGGAAUAAAAGUGUUUGAAGCUGAAGCUGGGUCUUCCAUCCAAAUGUGGAAAGCGUGCCAGAGGACUGUCUUUCCCAUUCCCGCCCCACCUGCACAGCCAUAGACAAAGCUCAGCUCCGGGAUAAGAGGAAAAAGCACUGCCUGGACCUGUCCACCAGCAAGCGGACAUUGCUUUGCAUAAACAGGCAGAGGGGCAGGCACCUCAAGGGACUCGCAGAAGUGCCUGGGUAUUUUUAAAUACUUGAGGAGAACACAAGGAUGCCUGUCGGACAUCUCAGGAACUGCUAGCUCCAGGUGCAUGAACCUUUGAAGCUUUGGAGAAUCUGCUGGGCUAUGUGGAAGGGAAAAGGGAGGAUUAAGUCAAGCUCAUCCAUCACUCCAUACUGGCCCUUCCUCGCCAGUGAUCUCACAUGUUUAUUCCAACAAGAGAGCUGGAGAAACUGUGUUUGUGCUAUAUCAACAAUUCUCAGUGAAUGUCUUGUUGACUGGGAAAGCAAUGUGGGUCCUACUUUUCUUUCUUUCAUUUUGUAAAACCAUUUCUGAUGAGCAUGAAUGAGUCCUCCAUUUCUUAAGUAACUGACAGCACAGGUUUGAUAUCAGCAAUCAAAGAUCUGCCAGGCCUUGUUUAUCAUGCCUCACCUCUGUUGCCACAUGUUUCCCAGGGAUCGAUUGAAUGUGACUAUGAGUAGCUCUCCAUGUACACCAUCUAGUGUCACUUCUGGGACUUGGGGGUUUCUGACUUACAGUCCUCUUCCCUAUCAUUUAUUUACAUAUUCAGUAAAUAAUCAUGAACACCUACCUUAUGCCAGACAGUGUUCUGGGUGCUAAAUAUAUAGUAGUAGAAGAGAUAAAGUUUAUGUUUUCAUAGAACUUUCAAUUCAGUACAUGAGAUGGAAAGGUGGACGGUGCCUGUAGUCCCAGCUACCCGGGAGGCUGAAGUGAGAGGACUGCUUGAGCCCAGGAAUUUGAGACCAGCCUGGACAACGUAGUGAGACCCUGUCUCUAUUAAAGUUUUUUUAAAUUACUGAUAUAAUUUAAGGUAGUGGUGAGUACUAGAAAAAAUGUACCAGGAGAAAAAAACAGAAGCAAAAGUACAUGUGGCCAAUACUAUUUUGAUAUGUAGAGGCCAGGAAAAGCUUCUCUGAAGAGGUAAACACAAAGUUGAAGGAUGUACCAUCACAGAGAGAUGGAAGUUUUCCAUAAUUUCCUUGCAUAUACUAUGGUGUGACUUCAUUUUUUCACCCACGUCUGUUAGGCUGCUCAGAUAAACUGCUUUUUUUUUAAACGAGAUCUAAAGACCACGUACAUUCUUCAUAGUCCCUGAAUUAAGUAUUACCCAAACCAUAGCUCAUGGGCCACCUACCUGUUAAUUUAAUGUCUAUGUAUGCCUUCACUCUACAAUGGCAGGCUUAAGCAGCUGGGACAGAGACCACAUAACCCAGAAAGCCUAAAACUUUUAUUCUCUGGCCCUUUACAGCAGCAGUCCCUAAACUUUUUGGCACCAGGGACUGGUUUCCCAGAAGACAAUUUUUCCUCCUACUGGGGGUGAGGGAUGGUUUCAGGAUGAUUCAAGCGCAUUACUCUUACUGUGUACUUUAUUUCUAUUAUUAUUACAUUGUAACAUAUAAGGAAAUAAUUAUACAGUUCACCAUAAUGUAGAAUCAGUGGGAGCCAUGAGCUUGUUUUCCUGAAACUAGACAGUCCCAUCUAGGGGUGAUGGGAGACGUGACAGAUCAUCAGGCAUUAGAUUCUCAUAAGGAGUGUGCAACCUAGAUCCCUUGCAUGUGCAGUUCACAAUAGGGUUCGUGCUCCUAUGAGAAUCUAAUGCUGCCACUGAUCUGACAGGAGGCGGAGCUCAGUAAUGUGAGUGAUGGGCAGCAGCUGUAAAUACAGAUGAAACUUCCUUGACUUCCCUGCCCUCGCCUCCUGCUGUGCAGCAAUUUCCAACAGGCCACGACAGGGGUUGGGGACCCCUGCUUUACAGGAAAUAAUGUGCUGAUCCCUGGUUUAGAUAAUUGAUUUUGAAAUUUGAUUCUAUUUAAAACUAUUAGUUUUCCUGUAAGCUCUUCUUUAGCUGCAUUUAACUGGUUUUAAUAUGAUAUACUGCAGUAUCAUUCGAUUCAAACUAUUUUCUAAGAUUCGAAGAUUUGCUGUAACUUAUCCUUUUACCAAUGGGUUAUUUAGAAGUGUGCUGCUUAAUUGCUAAGCUAUUGGAAAUUUGUCUACUUACCUUUCUGUUCUUAAUUGUCAGUUUAAAUUCACUGUGAUGUGGUCAGAGAAUACAACCUAAAUGUUAUCAAUCAUUUGAAAAAAUUUUAGGACUUAAAUUAGGGGCCAGCAUACAGUAUACUUUGGUAACUGUUCCCUGUGUAAAUAAAAAGAAAAUCUGAUCUAGAACUGUUAACUGUGGUAUCUUACAUAGUCAACUUGAUUAAUUUAAUGAAUCAUGUUGUUCAAAUAUUUUAUAUUCCUGUUGAUGCUUUGACAGCUGUUCUAAUACUGAGAAGUGUGUGUGAAAAUCUCCAACUAUUAUUAUAUGAUUUUGAUGUUUCCUCAUCUAAUUCUGUUACACUUUGAAAUAUAAAUUUUGAAGCUAUUAGGUGCAU
rnacentral:lncRNA from 10 species